rnacentral:rRNA from 1 species
UACAGAGGGCAGCUACCCAGCGAUGGGAUGCGAAUCUCGAAAGCCUGUCUCAGUUCGGAUUGGAGGCUGAAACCCGCCUCCAUGAAGUUGGAUUCGCUAGUAAUCGCGCAUCAGCCAUGGCGCGGUGAAUACGUUCCCGGGCCUUGUACACACCGCCCGUCAAGCCAUGGAAGCUGGGGGUGCCUGAAGUUCGUGACCGGAAGGAGCGACCUAGGGCAAAACCGGUGACUGGGGCUAAGUCGUAACAAGGUAAC